UUUGAACAAACACAAUAUUAAGAAAAUAAAAGCAGCCAUAAUGUUAUUAACAUAUUUAAAAUCCUUUAAUGCAGCAACACUGAGCGAUUUCUGUGUCAUCACACACGCCACGUUGGAAAUUCUUACGAACACAGUCAUUAUUGCACCUUUGUUUAUCACAUUUUAGUCGAAACAUGCAAAUCGAUAUUUGAUCAGGCCCUGCCGUUGUGCCACUUCUAAUUGCUUCUGCAGUGAUAACAAUUAAACAUAAUGUCAUUAGAAUUUGUGUGUGGAAUUUAGAGCUGCGGUUCGAUGGGAUUUCUAUUUAUUUAUUUAUUAGAGGAGAAAAACUAAUUUUGGGAAUGUAAUUUUAGUUACUUUAAUUAAAAUGAUUAAAAAAAUGGUGGUUGUUUACACGAAUCCAAGAUAUUUUCAUGUGAAAAUGAUAUCAUGAAUUGUUAGAUUAUUUAAUAAUUCAUAAUACUAUUUUUAUAUAGGCAUACUUUUAUAAGAGUAGGCACCAAAUAAAAUUAAUAAAAGAUAAUUUUUGUAACUAUCUUUUGUUCAAAGAGUAACUUGAUUAAGCUAUGAAACAAUUUUAUAGUUACCUGAAGUCAUCAAAAGCAUAUUCACGAAAAGAAUGCAGAAGAAAAACUUUGAAAAUGUGUUGAUAGCCAUUCUAUAAUAAUCACGUUAUGUAUAUUCUCUUGCUUUCUUCAACGUGUGUCUUUGAAUAAUCAACCACAAUACUUAGAUUAUUUAUAGUGUCUUGUAUGUGAAACUAAUUUAAUUUAAUCUAAUGUAAUAUUAUAAUUAUAAUAAUUAUAAUAAGAGAGAAUUCAAUUAGCAUUUAAUAAAUAAUGCAUGAUUAUACCAAUUUAGAAAAAUAUCUUUAUUAUAAUUAUAUAAAAUAAUCUACUUAAUAUACUAAAAUUGAAUUUUUCCCCAACUAAUGAAAGUAAGGUGUCAAUUUUUCAUGAAUUUAUUUUCUUUUCAAAAUAAAGGCACUAUUCUCUCUUCUAAAUUUAUUUUAAAAAAUAUCUUUAUUAGAAUUAUAUUACAAUUAGCAUUUAAUGAAUAAUGCAUAAUUAUACUGAUUUAAAAAAUAUCUUAAUUAUAAUUAUAUAAAAAGUUAAACAUAAAUUUAUAAUUCUAAUUGCUAUAAAUAUGAUACUAACGUUCAUAGUGGUAAAUUGAUAUUGCAAUAAUUAAUUUCUAUAAUUAUUUUUGUACUACUAAAGGCUAUAUAUAGUGUUUCUUUGUGGUUAGUGAGUCUAAAUCUAAGAAUUAAAGCAUUUUUUUAAUGUGUUAUUCUUUUUUGAUUGGGCAAUUGUUUCUAAAGAGCUUUGUAGGUCAAGUUCAAGUCACAUCCCCUCUAUGUUUGUCCAAAAAUAUUCGAAGUGGAGCAUAUAAUGAGAUCGAAUUUCCUCAAUUUAGGUUCAAUUUUGAAAAAUUCGUGCCAACCUUGAAGAUGCAAUUCAAAGAUUGGCACUAUAUUUAAAUUUUUUUCUCUUAAGCUUUUUGUAUUAAAAAUAAUUUUAUAACAUAUUGUAUUUUUUUCAAAAACUACCGGUCUUUUGGUGCAUUAAUGCAAUGCCAUUGAAGAGAAUAAAAGUCAAUUUAAUUUGACAAUUUUAAUAAGAAGAUAGUCUGAAUUUGUACUGAUUCUAAGUAUUUAAUCUUAUGAUAUUAUUUCGGUUGGUUGUUACGAGAAUGACUCUGAUCUAUACGUAUCUAAGGAUUAAAAUAGAUUAAAUAUUAUUUAAAUAAUUUAGUUCUAAUAUUGGUAGUUGAUUAAAUUAGUUUUAGAGAAAUUUAAAUUGUUGUCUCAAUUUAUAUAUUAUGACUAUUCUUUAUGGAUAUGUUAUUUUUAAACUUUUUAAUAUGAUUUUUUUUUAAGUUUUUUUCUUUUUUGAUAUAUGUAUCACCUUUUUUUUGUACGUAUUUCAGAUUAGUAAUGCAAUUAUUAAGAGAAAUGUAAUUCAUCAAUAAAUUAGAAUGAUUAAAAGUUUAAUUAAGAUUAACUAACAUCUGUUUUGGACACAAGAUUGAUUAAUUAAGAUUAAGGCGUGAAAAAAGAAAAAGAGUCACAAUACGUGAUUUUGCUUUCUUGCUAAUAUAUAAAAAUAUGUGAAAGAAAAAAAUUAAAAUAUUACCAUUUAAAAAAAAUUGUUAAUCAUACAUAUGAAAAGGGAUUGGGGAAUAUACAUGGAUAUAAAAAAAAUUAUUACUCGAUUGUAGAAUAAAAAAUAAUCAUAUAUAUAUAAAAAAAUAAUCAUAACAAAAAAAUAAUUAGCAUAUGUGACUUAAAUUUUUAUAUGUACAAUUAAUAUAUAUAUAUAAAAUUUUCUUUCAUGUUUAUUAUUUAAAAAAGUUAUAAUUUUCACAUAGUCUUUAUUCUAUUUUUUUUUCAUACCUAAUGACUAUUGAUUACAAUUCUAUUAAUAGUAUCACCUAUAAUAGAUUAUACGAAGAGAAAGUAUAAAAAAUAAAGACAAGAAUUAUAAGGUUAUAAAAAGUUCCAUUCAAGUUUGAUAAGAGUAAGACGGUUUACAUAGAAAUAGUUCUAAUAGAUGAUAAGAUUAAUUGAUUCAUUUACUAAAUUUUUUCAAGUAAUGCUAAGUUCAAUUUAUAAAUAGAGUUUAAUUUUGAUGCACUGACAGUGUAAAGCGUUUUACAUAGUCGUGCAAUCACAUCCGUUCUUUUGGAUGACCAUUCACGCGGUCAUGUAAAAUGUAUUUAUUUUUAUUGAUGUGUCAUUACGUAAUUGGAUACACGUGUAAAACUACUUUACACUGUCAGUGUAUCAAAAUUAAAUUCUUAUAAAUAUUUGUAGUUCAUAUUUUAAGUUAAUUUUAUAAGUACACAAUUUCACAAGUCAAAGACAAUUUUUUUUAAUAGCUUUGUAAAUGCUAAUAACUUUUAUAUUUAAUUUAUUUUACAAUACAAUAAAAUUCAUUGUUCAAUCAAGUCAAAGACAAUUCUUUUUAAUAGCUUUGUAAAUGCUAAUAGCUUUUAUAUUUAAUUUGUUUUGCAAUACGAUAAAAUUCAUUGUUCAAUCAAGAAUUAUUUGACAAAAAUAUUUGAGAAUGAAUUGGUAGAAAGAAAAGUCUAUGGUUUCUCAAAUUUUGAGAUCGAGAAAUCAAGCGGAAUAUAUCUUCUAACUGUACAUACGUGCAAAAUAUCUUUUAAGAUGGAGUCAGGUAUAGUACAUUUGGUCGAUGAUCGUAAAAUUCUGGAUAAUCAUUUUAAUUUGCUUGCUCAUGCUGAUAUAUUGAAACAAACAAAUGAAUGAUUCUACUUAUUUGGUACGUAAUUAAUUUAUAUUAACCCACAUAAAAUUAUUUUCCUUUUGAUUUUAAGUUUUGCCAAAAAAUUGUAUAAUAGCAUCAUUUUAUCGAUAACAAAAAUUUUAACAGUUUAUUUAUGAAAAUAUUUGAAAUUGUAUUGUGACUUUUUUUAAAGGUAUAUCCUUUUAUUAAUAUAUUAUUGUUAGUUUUAUCAUUUAAUAUAAAAUAAAUCACUAAAUUCUUUUUAUUUUAUACACGUUCGAAGUUAUAAUUUCUUAUAUUAUUCACUCAUUUGUCCUUAAUUUGGUACUUUUAAUUCAAUUUUUUUGUUCAAUUAGAUGUUAUUAGAUUCUUGAUUAGAAAAGAAAAACUCAUAUCAUGGUCAAAAAUAGAGAGAAGUGACCAGUACAUUGUAAUUGAUCUUCAUGAUUUACAGUAUGUAAAAUUUUAAUAUGAAUAUUUAUUUAGGUUAUAAUGAUGUGUUGUGGUGCAAAUUUUUUUUUCUUUAUAUAUUACUACUUACUCCCUUAAUUCUCGCUUUCAUUCAAAAAUGAAAAAAAAUAAGAUGUACACUAUGAGAUCAAUUUACAAUCCAAUUACUUGAUCAUCUAUGUGAUCACCAAGCAACUGAAUACAUAAUUUAUUUUCUAAUUUAUAAAAUUUAACAAAGACAUUGGUAAACAUAUUAGUUUCGCAUUUAUUUAUAUAUUUUAUUUAUUUAUGUUAUAUUUGUAAUUAUAUUAUAUCUAUUUUUAUCAAUAUAUAUAUUUUUUUAAAAUAUCGUUAGUGUUAGCACAUUGUGUAUUAAAUAAAUUAAAUGAUAGAAAUACGUAACUAUUUUUUUUUCAGUCAAGAUUAAGUAAAAUACUGUAAUUUAGACUUGUAAUAUCAACAUAUUAAUAGUAAAAAUGAAAAAAAAAUGUAAUAUUAUAUCAAAAAAUUUUUUAAAUCAUAAUUGUAAUUUAUGAUUGAAAUCAUAAUUUAAAUAUUUUAAACGGGAUAAUUUCAUUUAGAGAAUUCAUAAUUCAAACAUAAUUUUUAUACACUUAAUAGCUACAUUCGAAUUAAUACAUUUAAUAUUAUAUUUAAAAAAAUACGAACAAUGCACAUCAUAUUAUUUAUUUAUUAAUUAAAUUAUUACAAUUCAAAUUAAUUUUAAUAGAAUAAUUUAAAAUUAUAAUUUUAGUUUUAUCACGUACAUGACACGGAUUAUUACACUUGUAAUAAUUACAAUUAUAAUAAUGAUUAAAAAAACUGGCCUUGAUAUGGUCUUCACAUUAUUGGUCGUCCCUUUAAUUUAAUGUUUACGAAGUGAAAGAGUAAUCGAUAAAAAAAUAAAAAUCUUUCUUUUAAAAAAGUCUUUUGGCAUUAAAUACUACGUUGUAAUUUUUCACGAUUUUUUUCCUCUAAAAUAUUGAUUCCACUAUUUUUUCAAUAAAAGAAUUUCAACAAGUUGCAAUUUGUUUUUUCUUAUAUUAAAGUUUUUUUACUAAAUUUAUAAAAAAAAAAAAAAAAUCGAAAGGGUCAAGAUUUUCAUAAGAGCCAACAAGUAAUUCAAACAUUUACCCUUAAAUUUUCAACAAAUUUAUUUAUUUAUUUAUUAGUAAUUGUUUUGGUGACUUUUUUUUAGUAAGUAAAUUGAAGUUAAAUAGUUCUCAUAUUUGAAAAAAAAUAAAUAAAUUUUAUUGGAUGAGAUAUACGGAUUUCUCCUUUUAAUGCAUUAUAUAUUAUUAAAAUUAAAUUUCUUCCAUUAAUAGUAUAGCUGAUUUGAUAUGUUUUGAAGGUAUUUUUUAGCUAAUGACUUAUAGGUCAAAUGACAUAAUCUCGCCAUAUUAACAUAAGAGGUUGCGGGUUCAAGUCUCCAUAUCUUUAUUAAAAAAAAAAGGUGUUUUUUAAAUUAUUUAUUUGAUAUAUUUAAAUAUGUUAAUUAACUAAUCAUUUAUUUGAUUUGAUUAAGAUAAAUAAUAAAUUAUUUAAUAUUUUGUUUGACUACAUUUUAUAUAUUUUGAUUAAUAAUUUUUAAAAUAUUAUAAUUAAAUAUUUAUUUAAUUUGAUUGAUAUAAAUAUUAAAUUAUUUAUAUAAUGACAAUUGAAACCGACAUUUUAACUUAUUAAAAAUUUCUAUUUUAAUUCUAAAAAUUGUGACGAUUUUUUUAAAAUCAUCGUAAUAAUUAGAAUAAUGCUUCUAAAAACUCCGUUUUCGAAAAUAAUGACAAUUAAAACUGCCAUAAAUACCUCAAAAAACUACCAUAAUAACCAACAUUUUUUUGUAUUGUUAUAUACUUGACUCCAUAAUUUGUUUCAUUUUGCCCUAUAUUAAUUUUAUUUUUAUUAAGACAAACAUUAUUUACUAAGAUUGAUUUAUUACUCAGAUAUAUAAUUUAUUUGAAUUCAUUUUGUAAAAAGAUACAUGUAAGAAAUUUAUUAACUGUGUCCAAUUUUUUUUUAAACAAUCCAUAGGUAUAUUUAAUUUAUAUUUAAUAAUGAGUCUAUUUUGUCAUAGGUUAUACAAAACAUGACCCUAAACUCAAAGGAACCUGUAUGAUGGAGAGAUACCCGACCACCGGAAUGAUUCUAAAAUUGGAAGUCAUAAUAGAAAAAGCAAUUCUGGAUAUAUAAUAUACGUGACCAAUUCUCCACAUAAUUGGCACUAUAUGGUUGAAUAAUACUAUAUCAAUAAAUUAUUAAAACUUGAACAAAGUUUAUUUCAUUCCACUACUUGCUUAUUAUAUGUAGCAUGGAUAUAACAUUAAUGACGUUUGUUCGAAAUAUAUAUAUAUUUGAACAAACACAAUAUUAAGAAAAUAAAAGCAGCCAUAAUGUUGUUAACAUAUUAUUAACCUUUGACUUAAUUGAGACGGGAAUUAAUGCAGCAACACUGAGGCUUGGCUGAAGAGUUAUCACACUGGCCACGUUGGAAAUUCUUACUAACACAGUCAUUAGUGCAUGUUUGUUCAUCACAUUUUGCUUGAAACGUGCAAAUCACUAUUUGAUCAGGCCGUGCCGUUGUGCCACUUCUAAUUGCUUCUGCAAUGAUAACAAUUAAACACAAUGUCAUUAGAAUUUGCGGUUGGAUGGGAUUUUUAUUUAUUUAUUUAGAAUAAAUUACCAUUUGUACCCAUAAAAAAUACAGAUGCUGAUAAAUGUAUCUAUAUAAAAAUAAAACGACAAUUAUAAUUACGAAAGAUGGCUUCCGUAUGCCAAUAGUACCCAGACGUUGGUUACACAAUUAGUCCGUUAGGGUAUUCUUGGCACAUAGAAACUAUCUUCCGUAGAUAUAAUUGUCAUUUUAUUCUUAUAUCGAUAUAUUUGUCAGCGUUUGUAUCUUUCAUGGAUACAAAUGGUAAUUUAUUCAUUUAUUUAUUUGUAAACUACUAACUUUUUUUUGGCUAAAAAUAAUAUAUAUAUAAUUUUUAUAUAUUUAUAUAUUGUUUAACUUGUUUUAAUUUGNNNNNNNUUAUGAAUAAUUAUUUCUUCCAAAAUAAAGUUGAAAACCAAGCACACUCGAUUGUAUUAUUGUAAUAAAAAUUCCUUUUUUUUCAAAAAUAUUUUUUAUGAAAUAAAAUUUGAAACAAAAGCAGAAUUAUUUAGUUUAAACAAAUAAAUUAAUGCCUAUACUAUCCUUAUCAACUUAUCGUACCAACCGAGAACUAACUAGAAGAGUACUCUAUUUAUUUAUUGGAGGAGAAAAACUAUUGUCAAAUUAACUAAUGAUUUAUAAUAUUAUAUAUUUUUGCAUAAACAUAUUUUUAUAGGAGUAGUCACCAAAUGAAAUUAAUAAAAGAUCAUUUUUGUAACUAUCUUUUGUUCAAAGAGUAAUUUGAUUAAGCUAGGAAACAAUUUUAUAGUUACCUGAAGUCAUCAAAAGCACAUUCACGAAAAGAAUGCAGAAGAACAACUUUGAAAAUGUGUUGAUAGCCAUUCUAUAAUAAUCACGUUAUGUAUAUUCUCUUGCUUUCUUCAACGUAUGUCUUUG
rnacentral:lncRNA from 1 species